rnacentral:rRNA from 1 species
GGGCCAGACUCCUACGGGAGGCAGCAGUGAGGAAUAUUGGUCAAUGGCCGCAGGGCUGAACCAGCCAAGUCGCGUGAGGGACUAAGGCCCUGCGGGUCGUAAACCUCUUUUGCCGGGGAGCAGUGGUCCGGACGCGUCCGGACCGGGAGAGUACCCGGAGAAAAAGCAUCGGCUAACUCCGUGCCAGCAGCCGCGGUAAUACGGAGGAUGCGAGCGUUAUCCGGAUUUAUUGGGUUUAAAGGGUGCGUAGGCGGAAUGCCAAGUCAGCGGUAAAAUCGCGGGGCUCAACCUCGCUCCGCCGUUGAAACUGGCGUUCUUGAGUGGGCGAGAAGUAUGCGGAAUGCGUGGUGUAGCGGUGAAAUGCUUAGAUAUUGCGCAGAACUCCGAUUGCGAAGGCAGCAUACCGGCGGCGAUCUGACGCUGAGGCACGAAAGCGUGGGUAUCGAACAGGAUUAGAUACCCCAGUAG